rnacentral:rRNA from 1 species
AUCGCAAGACCUCUCACUAUUGGAGCGGCCGAUAUCGGAUUAGCUAGUUGGUGGGGUAAAGGCUCACCAAGGCAACGAUCCGUAGCUGGUUUGAGAGGACGACCAGCCACACUGGGACUGAGACACGGCCCAGACUCCUACGGGAGGCAGCAGUGGGGAAUUUUGGACAAUGGGGGAAACCCUGAUCCAGCCAUCCCGCGUGUAUGAUGAAGGCCUUCGGGUUGUAAAGUACUUUUGGCAGAGAAGAAAAGGUAUCCCCUAAUACGGGAUACUGCUGACUGUAUCUGCAGAAUAAGCACCGGCUAACUACCUGCCAGCUGCCGCGGUAAUACGUAGGGUGCAAGCGUUAAUCGGAAUUACUGGGCGUAAAGCGUGUGUAGGCGGUUCGGAAAGAAAGAUGUGAAAUCCCAGGGCUCAACCUUGGAACUGCAUUUUUAACUGCCGAGCUAGAGUAUGUCAGAGGGGGGUAGAAUUUCCACGUGUAGCAGUGAAAUGCGUAGAUAUGUGGAGGAAUACCGAUGGCGAAGGCAGCCCCCUGGGAUAAUACUGACGCUCAGACACGACAGCGUGGGGAGCAAACAGGAUUAGAUACCCUGGUAGUCCACGCCCUAAACGAUGUCAACUAGCUGUUGGGGCCGUUAGGCCUUAGUAGCGCAGCUAACGCGUGAAGUUGACCGCCUGGGGAGUACGGUCGCAAGAUUAAAACUCAAAGGAAUUGACGGGGACCCGCACAAGCGGUGGAUGAUGUGGAUUAAUUCGAUGCAACGCGAAAAACCUUACCUACCCUUGACAUGUCUGGAAAGCCGAAGAGAUUUGGCCGUGCUCGCAAGAGAACCGGAACACAGGUGCUGCAUGGCGUCGUCAGCUCGUGUCGUGAGAUGUUGGGUUAAGUCCCGCAACGAGCGCAACCCUUGUCUUAGUUGCUACGCAAGAGCACUCUAAUGAGACGCCGGUGACAAACCGGAGGAAGGUGGGGAUGACGUCAAGUCCUCAUGGCCCUUAUGGGUAGGGCUUCACACGUCAUACAAUGGUCGGGACAGAGGGUCGCCAACCCGCGAGGGGGAGCCAAUCUCAGAAACCCGAUCGUAGUCCGGAUCGCAGUCUGCAACUCGACUGCGUGAAGUGGGAAUCGCUAGUAAUCGCGGAUCAGAAUGUCGCGGUGAAUACGUUCCCGGGUCUUGUACACACCUCCCGUCACACCAUACCAGUGGGUUU